rnacentral:rRNA from 1 species
UACGUAGGGUGCAAGCGUUGUCCGGAAUUAUUGGGCGUAAAGAGCGUGUAGGCGGCCCGAUUAGUCCGCUGUGAAAGUCCAGGGCUCAACCCUGGAAUGCCGGUGGAUACUGUCGGGCUAGAGUCCGGAAGGGGCGACUGGAAUUCCUGGUGUAGCGGUGAAAUGCGCAGAUAUCAGGAGGAACACCGGUGGCGAAGGCGGGUCUCUGGGCCGAUACUGACGCUGAGGAGCGAAAGCGUGGGGAGCGAACAGG